CAGAAAUAGUAAGAAGGGUGAAAGGAAUAAGGCGAAGAUGCUGACGCGGAGUUUGCAAAUGCAAGAAAAACUCAAAAGUGCGUGACUUUACGAAAGAGGCAUUAGAUGGCGCUAAAACAACGCUAGACGUCACAUUUUUUACAGGGUGGGACAGUAAAAAGCAAUUUUAAAACGCGUUCAGGGGAAACAGUACUGCAGAUGGAGAAAAGAAUGCAUCAGAGAAUUCUUGUCUUGACCCUCCUUAUUUCUUUAGGACAUGGCAUUGAAGACCGUGUUUGGCAACCUGAAAGUACAGUGCAGGUUCUUCAAAAACAAGAGGCUGAAAUCAAGUGCAACUUUGAAGCAAGAGAUACUGCUAAUGCUUACUUCUUCUGGUAUAUUCAGACACCAAACGGCGCUCCUCGGCAUUUAAUGACAAGGACACCUACUUACAGCAUCAAUGAAGAAGGUUUCAAAGAAAGAUUUAAUGCAACACUCAACCGGGAGAACAAAACAGUCCACCUGAAAAUUUCAUCUUCUAAGCUGUCCGACUCUGCAAUUUAUUUCUGCGCAUUGCGGCCCACAGUAAGGGAAAGGAAGCCGAGAACAUUACACAAACUCAUGUGACAGAAAAACUGUCAUAUAAAUAACAACUUUUAAGUCCAAAUUUUGA